GUGAAAUGGCACUGAGAAUUAGGCAUGCUUGAGAUCGAGACAGCAAAAAAUUGAACAGCUGGAUGUAAGGUUUUUUUACUGUAAGAAGAAUAAGGAUGUGGAAUUCUCUGCCUGAAGAAGUGGUUUUAUCAGAGUCCAUACAGAUGUUCAAACAGCAACUAGAUGCAUACUUGCAAAAACAGAAUAUUCAAGGAUAUAAUUUCAAUGUAGGGUAAUAGCUGCUUGAUCAAAGGAUAAAUCUGACUGCCAUUCUGGGGUCAAGAAGGAAUGUGUUUCCUUGUUUGUUGCAAAAUUGGAAGUGCUUCAAACUGUUUUUUUUUUUGCCUUCUUUUGGAUCAACGGCAAAAUACAAAUGUGAGGAAGGCUAAACUUGAUGGACGCAAGUCUCUUUUCAGCUAUGUAA